UACAGGUGAUGCGAGUGUUACUCUUCUUUAUUGGGCGUAAAGGGUGCGUAGGUUGUAUAAUAAGUUUGAAGUAAAAUGUCAAAAAAGAUCAAUACAAAUUUUUGUGGAUAUUUUUUAUACUAUUAUACUUGAGUUUUAUUAAGGAUAAUGGAACUUCUCAUAAAGAGUUUAAAUGCGCUAGUAUAUGAGAGGGAACACCUAUGGCGAAGGCAAUUAUCCAUAUAAAUACUGACACUGAGGCACGAAGGCGUAGGGAUCAAAUCGG
rnacentral:rRNA from 1 species